rnacentral:lncRNA from 1 species
ACAGUCUGAAGCACUGCCUCCUGUUUACAUUUUUGGACAAAGAAAGAAAAUGUCACCAGUAUUGGGAGUCGCCCCAGCUCCAAAGACUAACCUCGCCAACCCCUGACAAGAGCCAUCCAAUGGUGAGUCCUGCUGGCUCACAUGAUCCUUACCCACCAAUCAGACUAGCCCUGCUGGCUCACAUGAUCCUUACCCACCAAUCAGAUUAGCCCUGCUGGCUCACAUGAUCCUUACCCACCAAUUGAAAUCACCCCAUGCCAACUAUCAAACCACCCCCGGCUCUAUAAAUAUACAGAGCUAUUCCUCAAUAAAGGAGCAUUUUCUCCCCUGAUGAGCCUUGAUUAUUCUUUCAAUGAGCUACCAAGAAGCCUAGACACAGAAAAGGUGUAGAAACAGUUAGUCCUGGAUGAAUUCUUUUAAAUGGGAGAGUCUGAGGCAUUUCUGAGAUUUUUCAUCAUCUGUGUGGGAGACAAAAAUCACUGAAAAUUUGGUGCUGGAAUGUGACAGACGGCCUGGGUCCCAUGUUUUAUAACUAAGCGUACAACCAUCGCCUAGGCUUUCAGAGAUUUUUGAAAAGCCACAGGGACUUCUAUAUGUGUCACAGCUGAUAUGAAUUGGCCAAUGAUCAUAAAUCAGAGUACUGAGCUUUUAUGCAGAUUUUCCAGAAUGCACUGGCCUUCAAACUUUCCUGAGUUAGCAGAAACUCUUCCCACAUCUUUUAAUCACUCAAAGUGAUAUAGUAAAUUGUGUAAAAAUUUUUUUGUUUGUUCCACUGUUGAGUGACUGAAGGCUUUUAUUUUUUAUAAUCUUUUUAUAUUUUAAGAAAUUAGUUUCUCAAAGCAAACAUUCUCCCUGUAAAACCUCAAGAUCUUAUUUCUUAACCAUACUGAAGAGCUCAAGAGAUUACUAUUUUUUUCCACACGAAAUGUAAAAUAUGCAAUACCUGAUUGUACAAUCCUAUUCAAUUCCAUUCUCUAAGUCUCAUUAAUUACACAUUCUUUACUAGAGAUCAAUCAAUUACUUGAUUGCUUAUCAAUUGCUGUGUAUAUUUGCUAUGAUAUGAACAUUCACAGUAGGAUAACUAAUAAUAAUUUUAAAAGGAUCCAUAUGAUUUGGGUGUCCAGGAGAUUCAUGGUGUUUCCAUGCAACGGAACACGGAACCGGCAAAACAUCACGUCUUAGAAGAACAUUCAUUGAUGUGGAAAAGUCUGUGACGUCCAUUAAGUGAGGACUGUGGGCUUCGGCAUUUGGGUACCGUCUACACCACCUCCCCCCGGGCUAUCAGAGCAGAAAGCUCCAGGCCUUCCACUGUCCUGGGAGCAGGAGCCGGAGGACGCAUUUCGGUUUCUGACAACUUGCACAUUUUCCCCCAGAUUUUCUGAGUUUCUGCAGGGACCACCUGUUACCUCUGUAAGUAGAAUCCCUUUUUAAACGUAAUCGCUCAAAUUAAAAUGAGCUUUUGUAGAGCGUCACUGUCCAAGCCAUCCAGUACUUACUGAACACAAGUCUAGCGCAGGCAGCAGAGAAAGACACUUUGAAAAGACAGCUAUUCCUGUCUUCAAGGAACUUCCAGGCAUAUUUUUGGAAGAAGUGGAUGUAAAAUAUAAAACAUAAAGUGUUAAAAAUCCAUAAAGUUGAGAAGACAAGCCAGGAGCAGGCGGCUGAUAGCUGUGCAGGGUGAGUUGACUGGCGGCCCCUGCUGGGUGGUUCCUCUCCUUCCUGCUGUGUCACUGUGUGUCACUGAGGACCUCCUCCUCCUUGGUGAGUGAUCCCACUCUUGGGUUCAGUCCUGGUGGCAUUUAGCAAGCGCCCUUUCUGGAACCUCCUGGCUCCUUGAGGCUAAGCCGCUUUGGCAACGGCAGGAGCUUUACGUAAACUCUUGUCGUUUCAAUCCUGACCCCUGUCGGAGGCUUUAAUCCAGACACUUUAGUUCUCCUUCUUCCCCUAAUUCCUGAAACCCCGCUAAAGGAUGGCGGAGGAGGGAAGUCAGCCCUUGUCCCCUGGGCCCUUGGCGUGUUUUUCUCAACUACCGAAGAGAAUAACAAUAAAAACAAAACUAAUAAUACAGUUAGGUAGCAGUCACUCGGU